GACGAACGCUGGCGGCGUGCUUAACACAUGCAAGUCGAACGGAAAGGCCCUGCUUGCAGGGUGCUCGAGUGGCGAACGGGUGAGUAACACGUGGGUGAUCUGCCCCUUACUUUGGGAUAAGCCUGGGAAACUGGGUCUAAUACUGGAUAGGACCAUGCUGUAGGUGGUGUGGUGGAAAGAUUUUUUCGGUAAGGGAUGAGCUUGCGGCCUAUCAGCUUGUUGGUGGGGUAAUGGCCUACCAAGGCGUCGACGGGUAGCCGGCCUGAGAGGGUGGACGGCCACAUUGGGACUGAGAUACGGCCCAGACUCCUACGGGAGGCAGCAGUGGGGAAUAUUGCACAAUGGGCGCAAGCCUGAUGCAGCGACGCCGCGUGGGGGAUGACGGCCUUCGGGUUGUAAACUCCUUUCAGCCAUGACGAAGCCUCUUUUGGGGUGACGGUAGUGGUAGAAGAAGCACCGGCUAACUACGUG
rnacentral:rRNA from 1 species